UGGUACUUCGAUGCAUUUUUUGAUCAUCUAAAGACAGAUGUGGAUAAAGAAAGUGAUGACAAAGCAGAUGAUUCUUCAACUACAUGUGAAUAAGCUACACAGAAAUCAGAUGCGAAAUUCUUUUGAUUUAAUCUGUACCAAUUUCAUUUAUUGACCUGUGUUUAGUUGAUACCUUACUAGAAAAACACAUGGAAACCGUAGUUUUAAACUGAGCAAACAGAGGCUUGUAGUUGUAGCCUGCACUGCAAGAUUAUUUAGGUGGUAGAUUGUAAGUACUUUCUUGGAAAGAUCUACUUCUGAAUGCAUGAUCGGCUGCUAUCUGCAAAAUGUAAACACAAAUGUUGAAACUUCAAAGCAUUACAAUUUC
rnacentral:misc_RNA from 1 species